rnacentral:tRNA from 1 species
GCCCAGUCGGUUAAGUGUCUGACUCUUGAUUUUAGCUCAGGUCAUGAUAUCACGGUUCGUGAGUUCGAGCCCCACAUUGGGCU